UGGCUAUUCCGAGGGCAUGCCUGUUUGAGUAUCAUGAACACCUCAACUCCUCAUGGUUUGCCAUGAUGAGCUUGGACCUUGGGGGUAUUGCUGGCCCUGUGGUUGGCUCCUCUCAAAUGGAUCAGCUUGCCAGUGUUUGGUGGCAUCACAGGUGUGAUAAAUAUCUACGCUUGUGGUUUUCCACCAUGUAACCUUCAGCGAUGAAGGUGCACUGGAGCUCACAAAUGUCCCUCCUCAGUGAGGACAGCUUUUGAACGUUUGAUCUCAAAUCAGGUAGGAUUACCCGCUGAACUUAAGCAUAUCAAUAAGCGGAGG
rnacentral:rRNA from 1 species